rnacentral:rRNA from 1 species
GUCUGACGGAGCAACGCCGCGUGAGCGAUGAAGGCCUUCGGGUCGUAAAGCUCUGUUGUUAGGGAAGAACAAGUAUCGGAGUAACUGCCGGUACCUUGACGGUACCUAACCAGAAAGCCACGGCUAACUACGUGCCAGCAGCCGCGGUAAUACGUAGGUGGCAAGCGUUGUCCGGAAUUAUUGGGCGUAAAGCGCGCGCAGGUGGUUCCUUAAGUCUGAUGUGAAAGCCCACGGCUCAACCGUGGAGGGUCAUUGGAAACUGGGGAACUUGAGUGCAGAAGAGGAAAGUGGAAUUCCACGUGUAGCGGUGAAAUGCGUAGAGAUGUGGAGGAACACCAGUGGCGAAGGCGACUUUCUGGUCUGUAACUGACACUGAGGCGCGAAAGCGUGGGGAGCGAACAGGAUUAGAUACCCUGGUAGUCCACGCCGUAAACGAUGAGUGCUAAGUGUUAGAGGGUUUCCGCCCUUUAGUGCUGCAGCAAACGCAUUAAGCACUCCGCCUGGGGAGUACGGCCGCAAGGCUGAAACUCAAAGGAAUUGACGGGGGCCCGCACAAGCGGUGGAGCAUGUGGUUUAAUUCGAAGCAACGCGAAGAACCUUACCAGGUCUUGACAUCCUCUGACAACUCUGGAGACAGAACGUUCCCCUUCGGGGGACAGAGUGACAGGUGGUGCAUGGUUGUCGUCAGCUCGUGUCG